CACGAACAUGAUUUCUGAUCAUUCAUGGAAUAACGUAACUCCCCCAUACUCUUUCAUUCAUUCGUGAACUAAUUAAAAUGAUCUGUCUCUAUCUCAGGGUAAGAAACAUUUUACAGCUUUGCUUAUUUGAUCCCAUGUUCUGGAAUGUCUUUUAUGUGCCCUACCUUCCUUCUCUACAUUAUGGUCACAGAUGCAGCAGCAGCAGCAGCAGCAGCAGUAGCAGCAGCAGCAGCAGCAGUACUUGGAUCUCUGCAUCUGCUCAGUUUCCAGUCAGUUCCUUAGCCAUACAUUACAUUCUGCAAAAAACACACUCAUUCCUUAAGUAUAAAAACCAUGAUGGAAAGACCCACAACCAUGAGAGCAAUUCCAGGGAAGCAAGGAUCAUUAUUUCCUCCUCACUUCCCUUUCCCACACAACAACAAAACAGCCAUAUUAGAUGCUUCUUACGACUCCGAGAUCAGCAUUUUCGACGCCCAGAAGUACUUCAAC
rnacentral:lncRNA from 1 species